UACGGGGGGGGUAAGCGUUGUUCGGAAUUACUGGGCGUAAAGGGCUCGUAGGCGGCCAACUAAGUCGGACGUGAAAUCCCUCAGCUUAACUGGGGAACUGCGUCCGAUACUGUAAGUCUUGAAUGUGGUAGAGGUUACUAGAAUUCCCGGUGUAGUGGUGAAAUACGUAGAUAUCAGGAGGAACACCGGUGGCGAAGGCGGGUCUCUGGGCCGAUACUGACGCUGAGGAGCGAAAGCGUGGGGAGCGAACAGG
rnacentral:rRNA from 1 species